ACCUACGGGGCGCAGCAGUGGGGAAUAUUGCACAAUGGGGGAAACCCUGAUGCAGCGACGCCGCGUGAGCGAGGAAGUACCUCGGUAUGUAAAGCUCUGUCAGCAGGGAAGAAAAUGACAGUACCUGACCAAGAAGCCCCGGCUAACUACGUGCCAGCAGCCGCGGCAAUACGUAGGGGGCAAGCGUUAUCCGGAUUCACUGGGCGUAAAGGGAGCGCAGGCGGCCAGACAAGUCAGAAGUGAAAGCCCAGGGCUCAACCCUGGGACUGUUUUUGAAACUGCCGGGCUGGAGUGCAGGAGAGGUA
rnacentral:rRNA from 1 species